rnacentral:lncRNA from 1 species
AUGGCCCCGAAGCGGCAGUCUGCGAUCCUGCCUCAGCCCAAGAAACCCAGACCGGCUGCUGCCCCGAAGCUGGAGGACAAGUCGGCCUCUCCCGGCCUGCCGAAGGGAGAAAAAGAACAGCAAGAAGCAAUUGAACAUAUUGAUGAAGUACAAAAUGAAAUAGACAGACUUAAUGAACAAGCCAGUGAGGAAAUUUUGAAAGUAGAACAAAAAUAUAACAAACUCCGCCAACCAUUUUUUCAGAAGAGUACUACCUGGUUCCCGACAUGGAUGAUGAAGAAGGAGAGGCAGAAGAUGAUGAUGACGACGACGAAGAGGAGGAGGGGCUGGAAGAUAUUGAUGAAGAAGGAGAUGAGGAUGAAGGUGAAGAAGAUGACGAUGAGGAUGAAGGGGAGGAAGGAGAGGAGGACGAAGGCGAGGAUGAUUAGCACAGAAGACUGA